UGGGGAAUUGUUCGCAAUGGGCGCAAGCCUGACGACGCAACGCCGCGUGGAGGAUGAAGAUUUUCGGAUCGUAAACUCCUGUCGAAUGGGACGAAUAGGUAGCGGGUUAACAGCCCGCAACCCUGACGGUACCGUUAAAGGAAACCCCGGCUAACUCCGUGCCAGCAGCCGCGGUAAUACGGGGGGGGUAAGCGUUGUUCGGAAUUACUGGGCGUAAAGGGCUCGUAGGCGGCCAACUAAGUCAUACGUGAAAUCCCUCAGCUUAACUGGGGAACUGCGUGUGAUACUGGAUGGCUUGGAUUUGGGAGAGGGAUGCGGAAUUCCAGGUGUAGCGGUGAAAUGCGUAGAUAUCUGGAGGAACACCGGUGGCGAAGGCGGCAUCCUGGACCAAUAUUGACGCUGAGGAGCGAAAGCUAGGGGAGCAAACGGGAUUAGAUACCCCGGUAGUCCUAGCCCUAAACGAUGAAUGCUUGGUGUAGCGGGUAUCGAUCCCUGCUGUGCCGAAGCUAACGCAUUAAGCAUUCCGCCUGGGGAGUACGGUCGCAGGGCUGA
rnacentral:rRNA from 1 species